GCCGGGCGUGGUGGCGGGCGCCUGUAAUCCCAGCUACUUGGGACGCUGAGGCAGGAGAAUCACUUGAAUCCAGGAGGCGGAGGUUGCAGUGAGCCAAGAUCAUGCCACUGCACUCCAGCCUGGGUGACAGAGUGAGACUCUGUCUCAA
rnacentral:sRNA from 1 species